CAGUAGGGAUACCCGCUGAACUUAAGCAUAUC
rnacentral:rRNA from 1 species